AAUAAAUUCAAGGGUAAAGAAAACCUUUCAUAACAGACAAAAAUAAGAUAAAUUCAACAAAAAAUAUAUAUAUUGUUCACUCACCCUUUAUAUAUAUAUGGAUGAAUAUGCAUAUGUAUGUAGAUAAAAAGAGUUAUAAAAGUUUGUUGUUGUUUGGAAAGUCCUCUCGAGUGUCAUCUUGCUCUUGGUUUUUGAGGUGUCUGUAAGUGAAUUGGUUGAUAUUUGGAGGCCUCUCCUUCCUGAUAAAAAGAGUUAUAAAAGUUUGUUGUUGUUUGGAAAGUCCUCUCGACUGUCAUCCUUCUCUUGGUUUUGGAGGUGUCUGUAAGCGAAUUGGUUGAUUUUUGGAGGCCUCUCUUUCCUGACAGGAUUUCCACUAGUUUUACAAGAUAUGCUGUCGAGUGCAAGUGUUGAUCCUGUCUCCCUUCGCUUAGAUGAAAAGCUUACACACCUAUCUGGUACAGACUCCGAGUGUUAUAUCUACAAAGUGCAUGAUCGACUACGUUGGCAAAAUGAAAAGUCAUAUGAACCAGAAAUAAUGGCUAUAGGACCAUAUCACCAUGGUAAAGAGAACCUACAAUGGAUGGAAGAACACAAAUUACAGUAUCUGCGAUUGCUUCUUAAACGAAGGAAUGAGACUAGUGUGGGUAGAUACAUAGUAGCCAUGAGAGAUUUGCAAGAAUGAGCACUUAGAUGUUAUGCAAACUCUGUAUGGCUUAACAAAGACGAGUUUGUGAAAAUGAUGCUUCUUGACAGCUGCUUUCUCAUUGAGUUGUUUCGCAAAUUUACCAUAACAAGUAUGAGAGAUAGAAAUGACCCACUCUUCAAAAUUGA